GGGUCGGUACUCAAGCGGUCAACGAGAGCAGACUGUAAAUCUGCUGGCAUACGCCUUCGCAGGUUCGAAUCCUGCCCGGCCCA
rnacentral:tRNA from 1 species